rnacentral:rRNA from 1 species
AGUGAACGCUGGCGGCAGGCCUAACACGUGCAAGUCGAGCGGCAGCGGGUUCCCGCGAGGGGAUGCCGGCGAGCGGCGGACGGGUGAGGAACACAUCGGAAUCUGCCUGGUUGUGGGGAUAACGUAGGGAAACUUACGCUAAUACCGCAUGCGACCCUGAGUCGACGGACUGGGGGUGAAAGUGAGGGACCUUCGGCCUCACGCGACCAGAUGAGCCGAUGUCGGAUUAGCAGUUGGCGGGGUAACGGCCCGCCAAGGCGACGAUCCGUAGCUGGUCUGAGAGGAUGAUCAGCCACACUGGGACUGAGGCACGGCCCAGACUCCUACGGGAGGCAGCAGUGGGGAAUCUGGACAAUGGGCGCAAGCCUGAUCCAGCCAUGCCGCGUGGGUGAA